GUCCAGGGAUGGGAAUCGAACCCACUGUGUUCCGCUUACCGGGCAGAUGCCAUGUCCACUAGGCUACCCUAUA
rnacentral:tRNA from 1 species